rnacentral:rRNA from 1 species
UACGUAGGGGGCAAGCGUUGUCCGGAAUUACUGGGCGUAAAGCGCCUGUAGGCGGGAACGUGCGUCGGACGUGAAAGGCGGGGGCUUAACCCCCGAGCGGCGUUCGAAACGGCGUUUCUUGAGGGUCGAAGAGGAGCGUGGAAUUCCCGGUGUAGCGGUGAAAUGCGUAGAGAUCGGGAGGAACACCCAUGGCGAAGGCAG